rnacentral:misc_RNA from 1 species
GUUUGCUUUGCUUGAUAACACUAUUAGUAAAGAGAUGGGACUAGGUUUUGGGCUUGAUUUGUGAGAGGAAGGUGGGUGUGUGUAUAUCGGUAAAAAAAGAGAGGGGAGAAUGCAAUUAGGUACUGUUGAGGGUUGCGAUAGGAGAAAGGCAGAGGUUUACCUUAAGGGCUAGAGCGGUGUCAUUUUAGAGUUUCUUUGAGAGUUAUUUAUUUUUAAUUUUUUUUAAUUAUCUUCCCUCCUAACUAGAGAAAUAGCAUGGUAUUUAUAGGGAAAAAUAAAACCUAAAAUAAAAGGUCUAGGAUUUAAGAAACCAAAAU